rnacentral:misc_RNA from 1 species
UCUCCGUAGGUGAACCUGCGGAGGGAUCAUUACCGAGUGAGGGUUUCGGCCCGACCUCCAACCCUUUGUGAACCAAACCUGUUGCUUCGGGGGCGACCCUGCCGUUCGCGGCGCGGCGCCCCCGGAGGACUUCCAACCCUGCAUCAUUGCGUCGGAGUAUUUUUUGUAAAUCUAAACAAAACUUUCAACAACGGAUCUCUUGGUUCUGGCAUCGAUGAAGAACGCAGC